GUCCUCGUAGCUUAUCCCAAAGCAUGGCACUGAAGAUGCUAAGAUGGCGUACAAUAAAAACCCGAGGACA
rnacentral:tRNA from 1 species